rnacentral:lncRNA from 1 species
ACUUUUAGUGGAGAAACACAAGCACACAACACACACACCUCUACUUUUAAGUGUGAUGAAGAAAAGUAAAGGAAAGAGGAGUAGAGCAAUAGUAAGGUGGGAAGAGAUGAUAGUUUUAGUGAAGGGAGCACUCUGAGGAAGUGCUAUUUGAGCAGAGACCUGAGUGAAGUACGGGAGUUGGCCAGAGAAAGGUAAGAGAGAACAGUCUAGGUAGGGGGAAUAUCAAGCAAAGAGGCCUUGAGGUGGCACUAAGCUUGGAAUGUGCCAGAAUAAGACCAGUGUGGUGAGACUGGAACGAGCAAGGGGAGAGCAGCAGAUGGCAUGGAAGAGGUGGGUGGGCCCAGGUCAUAAGCGCCUUACAGGUCCAUGCAGGGAUUCUAAAUUUAUUCUAAAGGUGAUACAAAGGUACUGAGGUCUUGAAACAGUGAUGGCCUGGACCAAAGCAGUAGGGUAAUGGGAUGAGACAUGGUCAGUAUGGAUAUAUUUUGAUGGCUGAUCCAGUAUAACUUGCUGAUGGAUUAGAUAUGAGGAAUGAGGAAGAAAUCAUGGACAAUUCUUAGGUUCUUGGCCAAAGCAACUAAAUGAGUAGUGUGCCAUUUACAAAUCUGGGGCUGACUGGUGACGAAACAAGUUGUGAGCGGCAAAACUGAGACCUAUUUUGGACAUGUUAAGUAUGAGAUGACCAUUAGACUUCAAGUCAAGAUGUCGGGUGGGCAAUCAUAAUUAUAAGUCUGCCAUUUGGGGGCAAGUUGGGGCUGAAGGUAUAAAUCUAAUAUUUAAAACUAUGGAACUAAAAGAUAUCUCCUAGGUGUUGGGGCAGAGAGAAAAGAGAAUAGGGCUGAAAACAGCCCUAAGGCGUGCCAACAUUAAGAGGUAGGGAAGUCUAUUCACCUCACUAGAGAGACCAGUGAGGCAUCCCAGAAGCCAAGUGAAAGUAUUUUCAGUAGGAGACAGUGAUCCCCUAAGUUAAAGCUGCUGAUGAGUAAGUUAAGGAUUGAGAAGUAACCAUUGGAUUUGGUGACUUUGAUAAAGGUAGCUUCAGUGGAGUGAUGAAAACAAAAAAAUUGGUGUACAGUGAUCCCUCCUACUCCACAGUUUCAUUUUCUGGGGUUUCAGUUAUCUGCAGUCAACCAGAGUCCGAAAAAUAUUAAAUGAAAAAUUCAAGAAAUAAUCCGUAAGUUUUUAAAUUGCAUGCCAUUCUGGGUGGCAUGAAGAAAUCUUACACUGUCACACUCCAUCCUGCCCAGGACAUGAAUCAUCUUUGUCCAGUGUACCCAAGUUGUAUACGGCAGCUGGCCUCAGUCACUUAGCAGCAGUCUCAGUUAUCAGAUCAACCCACAAUGUUGCAGUACUUGUGCUCAAGCAAUCCAUAUUUUACAUAAUGGCCCCAAAGUGUGAGAGUGGUGAUACUGGCAAUUUGAAUAUGACAAAGAGAAGUCAUAAAGUGCUUCCUUUUAAUGAAAAGGUGAAAGUUCUCAACUUAGUAAGAAAACAAAAAACAAAAAACAAAAAACUGUAUGCUGAGGUUGAUAAGAUCUACAAUAAGAAUGAAUCUCCUGUCUGUGACACUGUUAACAGUAUAUAGUUAUAAUUGUUCUAUUAAAAGUUAUUGUUGUUAAUCUCUUACUGUGCCUAACUUAUAAAUUAAACUUUAUCAUAGGUACAUAUAUAUAAGAAAAAAACACAGUGUAUUAGAAGUCGUUUCAGGCAUCUGCUGGGGGUCUUGGAACAUAUUCCCCAUGGAUAACGGGGGACUACUCUAUGUUCAAGAGAGAGUUAGAAGACCACUAGAAAUGGGACUCCUAGCUAUGGCAAUAGAAGUCAUUUAACCCAACUCUGUAGCCCUGGACCCUCAAUCAACUGGAGAGGGUUGAGUCAACCCAAGCAGGCCGACUGACUGCUGCUUUUUACAGAGAUGCAGAGGAAAUGUGACAGAAAUCCCUUCUCCAUUUAGGAGCUCAGCUUUGGUUCUUUUCUUCAGUUUUGGCUCUAGUUUCUUACAGAAGUGGCACUAAAAAGCUCACCUGUUCUCUAGUGCUUUGCCAGGGGAGAACUUAUGACCCUACUGUUCUGCUCUGUUCUCAGAAGAACAGAAGCAUCCCCUUCCUUCCCUACGCUCAAAACUUGGCAAGAGGGCCCUCUCUAGCCAUAACACAGGGCAAGUGGACACUGCCCAGAAGACGCUCCCAGUCGGAGCAAGAGGUCUACAAACAAUUCCCCUCAUAACCUAUAUCAGCCUUUCGAAGCCUCAGAUCUGGCCAUGUCUUUUCUAGUCUCAUGCUUCUCUUAAUAAAACAAAAUGAAAAGUACAGAGUACCAUGUAACUCAGAGGCUAAUUGUUACUAGCUUUCACCUCUAGAAGACUAUGAAUUUGUCUUACUCAACAAUGUUUAUUAGGCUCUGGGCUUCUUCUUACCCUAGGGAUUCAUACCCAAUCAAGAACUAGGCAUGUUUGUUACAACUCCAAGAAAGAUUGACCAAGCUGCAGUGUUCCCUGGCAUGGGCCAAGCUCAAAGCUCCUCAAAAGACUUGAAGUCAAAGGCUCCAGGAAGCUCUAGCCUAUCUAGUGUCCAAUCAAAAUGCAAGGAGACUAUGCAGGUCCUGAUGAGAACAAAGGAGCUGAGUCCCCUCGAUUUAGCCUGGGAAAUAUGGUGAAAUCCCG